CGCAAUAUAGUCAGAAAUGUUGAUGAGUAAUACUUCG
rnacentral:misc_RNA from 1 species